AUACGUAGGUGGCAAGCGUUGUCCGGAUUUACUGGGUGUAAAGGGUGCGUAGGCGGGGCAGCAAGGUGGAUGUGAAAUCCUCGGGCUCAACUCGAGAACUGCAUUCAAAACUGUUGCUCUUGAGUGCAGUAGAGGCAAGCGGAAUUCCCGGUGUAGCGGUGAAAUGCGCAGAGAUCGGGAGGAACACCAGUGGCGAAGGCGGCUUGCUGGGCUGUUACUGACGCUGAGGCACGAAAGCAUGGGUAGCAAACAGGAUUAGAUACCCUGGUAGUCCAUGCUGUAAACGAUGAUUACUAGGUGUGGGUGGACUGACCCCAUCCGUGCCGGAGUUAACACAUUAAGUAAUCCACCUGGGGAGUACGGCCGCAAGGUUGAAACUCAAAUGAAUUGACGGGG
rnacentral:rRNA from 1 species